GAUGUGAUCUACUUGGAUUUUGCCAUGGCAUUUGAUACGGUUCCUCACAAUAGGUUAGUCUUCAAACUAAAAGAAAUUGGUCUGAUGCAUAUUCUUGUUCUUGGGUGGAACAUUGGCUUAAGGAUAGAGUACAACGAGUUGUUAUUAAUGGUAAAUUUUCAACCUGGACAAAAGUGGUAAGUGGUGUCCCUCAGGGUUCUG